GUUCCUCAAUAGGGGCUGAGAUACAUGCAAAGGGAUGUAGACCAGAGGCCACAGAGACACUGGGAACUGGGGUAUUUUGUGUGAAGAGGACCAGUAUGCAGAGAACCAAACUUGGGGUGAUUUGAGGUCAAGGACAGGAUAUAAAUGAUGCCACAAGAGUCACAGCUCUCCUAAGGCAGCAGUUCACAGACAGCGCUCACUGUGAUGAACAGGGCAGAUGGCUCUCCCAGAUGAGCCACUUCUGCUGCAGAAAGAAACGGACCAUUUGCAUAUGCUGCCUCCAGAACUUCAGAGCCAGAGCACAUCUCCCCUCCUCCAGACUCCCAUGAUGCCUUCGGUAUACCAGACGUCUCAGCCCCAAAGAAACAAAGGCUCCUGUCACAGGAGGGACAACGGUUCCACUGAGCAGGAGGUGAACACACUGCUACCUGGCCUCCAGUGUUCCUCUUGCUUCAGAAUCCAUAGGUGACCGAAGCUGACUACC
rnacentral:lncRNA from 1 species